rnacentral:rRNA from 1 species
UACGUAGGGGGCAAGCGUUGUCCGGAUUUAUUGGGCGUAAAGAGCGUGUAGGCGGCCAGGGAGGUCCGUUGUGAAAACUCGAGGCUCAACCUCGAGACGCCGAUGGAAACCCCCUGGCUAGAGUCCGGAAGAGGAGAGUGGAAUUCCUGGUGUAGCGGUGAAAUGCGCAGAUAUCAGGAAGGACACCCGUGGCUAAGGCGGCUCUCUAGUACGGUACUGACGCUGAGACGCGAAAGCGUGGGGAGCGAACAGG